AAGACUACAAAACAAAACCAACACGUGCAAAAAAAAAUUAAAAAUUAAAAAUCUUGGAAGGGUUCUGCAGAAAGCGAACUUAUUUAAGUGUGAAAGAACAGAAGAAUUGACCAGAAGAUUUUCGGCUGUUUGUAGUGACCGUUCACCGGAUAUACAGUUAAACCCUAACAAAGGGAAAAUACGAACAAAACUAAAGCACCAUGAAAAUAGCAGGACUAAUUGGCGUUCUGACCCUGGCCAUAUUUUUGUCCUGCUGUUUGCAUCAAGCAGAAGGAACUUUCAAGUUACUUAAAUUGGUGAAAGCUGGUCUUCUCCUAAAAGCCCUCAGCCCGAAAAAAAUUCUACUUCCUGUGCCAAUUCCUAUUCCCAUCGGGAUCAGCCAGCAUAAUCAGUAUCAUUACCAGAGUCAUGGGCAUCACGGUUAUGACUACUAUCAACCACAUUACGGAUACGAUUACGGUGGCUACGGUCACGGAGGAGGUUACGGAUACCACAGCGGCGGCUAUCACGUUGGAUGGUAAAGUACACAAAACUGCAAGUACCAAGUGCCAAUUAUCGCACAAAAACUGUGUAUAGUUCAUGUCAGUAUCGUUUUUGUUUUAUUUACUUUUUUGUACAUUUCAAGUACAAGUGUUGUAUAUUGCAACUUAAACGACAACUCAGUACAUUAUAUAAAAGAUGAAAGUACAACUUAAUGAAGACAUUUUUAAACUUUUUAAAAGAAGAGAAAUUGUUUGCUUUCAUAUUACGUACUCAAUUUUCUUUUUAAAUGUUGUACUAAGGAUUGCUUCACCUUGAGUACAACGAAACGUUGCUGUUUCAGUGAUGCAAGUGUAUUUAUUGCAAAUUAUUUCGACACACGCGUCAACUAGAACAAUAAUUGUGUUCCACGUUCAUCACAAGUAUUAUUUUAUCUUAGGAAGAAUUAUUUACCCUUAUUUAGGUAAAGUAAUCAUUAAUUUUUAUUGUGAUACGUUUUUGCUUACAAAUAGUGCGCAUUUUUAAAUUACAAAAUAGGAAUUUUAAAAUUAUUUAGAAUUCCUAUAUAUCUGACGCAACUGUUUGCUAUGUAUCGAAAAAGUUUUUAUUUCACUUUUAGACUUCCGUUUGUACAAUAGCAAUUGUUAUAAACAAUUUCUUCCUUAAUUUAAUUGUAAAUAUACGUUCUAGUAUGUUCCACUGUAGUGGAAUGUAACGUGAAAUGAAUGUUGUGUUUGAAUUUUAACUCUCAACGAAAGGUCAGUUAGAAUUGAAAUGGCAAGAUAAGGAAAAUACACACAAAAACAAUAUGAUAAGUAAAAAAGGUGAAUUAUUAAAAUUAAAUCACAAAUAUUUAGAAAAGAAAGGGAAGAAUAUUUAGAAAGAAGAGGGCUUUACCUUCUCAUUAUAAUGGAAAGAAGAAAUAAUUCACGUAAUAAAUAGUUAAACCAUGAAAUGAUUUAAAAACUGAAGUAUGUAUUUUAAGAAUUUAUUUUAUGUUUAUUGCACUGUUUAAUAAUUUUAAAGGAAUUUUCCUUGCUUUGCAGUAUCGCUUAUAACUGAUAGAUCGCUGGGAAAUAAAAUUAAAUUUUAGAGAUAAUUUUACUACACACCUUAAAAAAUAAAUUGAGGAAUGCCAAGACAGUGUGUUAAAUUAAGGCUAUGAAAAACAUACUAAACAAGGAAAAAAAUACACAAAUAUACAAAUUUAAUUUAUAAUCGGAAUAUCUCGUUAUUUAAUUUCAGUAUAGUCGUGAUAAAAUUCCUCACUAAUUUUAGUUUUGACACUUUUAUUGUUCUUACGAUAGUUUUAGUUACAUCUGACAUUUUUAAAAAGAGUGUAAUUAAAACUGUUUGAAAUAAAAGUAUUAAAGCUAAACUUACAUUUCUAGAUAUGUAAAUAGUCUGUGAUAUAUAAAAAUAAUUUGAAAUCUGUUUUGUUAUUCUCUAAUUAUAUAUACGUUAGAAACAUAGAUUAAAAAUUUCUUUGAAUAUUAAUUUGUUUGUUUCAGAAUACCAGCAGCAUAUUUAUAUAUAUAUAUACUGCAUUAAAAAUAAGCGUCAUUCAAAUUUUUAUAUUAUUAUUAUUUUCAAGUAUAUACUUUCUUACUACAGAAAAAUUUGGUUUGAAAUAUUAUAGUAUUUUUCUGUGGGUGAUUUUAUGUAUUCAGAAAUUUAAGGUAAUAAAAGCGCGAACGUUAAGGUAAUUAAAGUUCAGAAAGCAAAAUACAAAUGCAACUGUAUUUUUAAAAUGUACAUUGAAAUAUUUAGUGUUAUUUAUAACAGAUAGAUGGCAGCACUACACAAAAUUACCUUACUAUUUUGCGUUUUAUGUUCAAUAUUGUGAAUAUUUUAAAAACAUGCUGGAACUUUCUGUGCUCCUAUAUAUGCAUAUUUGUCGUAUAUAUGUAAAAAUAGUAAAUAUUUUAAAUAAACUUUUAUUAUUUGUUUCC
rnacentral:lncRNA from 1 species